rnacentral:rRNA from 1 species
UACGUAGGGUGCGAGCGUUAAUCGGAAUUACUGGGCGUAAAGCGUGCGCAGGCGGUUUUGUAAGACAGAGGUGAAAUCCCCGGGCUCAACCUGGGAACUGCCUUUGUGACUGCAAGGCUUGAGUGCGGCAGAGGGGGAUGGAAUUCCGCGUGUAGCAGUGAAAUGCGUAGAUAUGCGGAGGAACACCGAUGGCGAAGGCAAUCCCCCUGGGCCUGCACUGACGCUCAUGCACGAAAGCGUGGGGAGCAAACAGG